GAUGAACGCUAGCGGCAGGCUUAACACAUGCAAGUCGAGGGGCAGCACAGGUAGCAAUACUGGGUGGCGACCGGCAAACGGGUGCGGAACACGUACGCAAUCUACCUUUAUCUGGGGCAUAGCCCGAAGAAAUUCGGAUUAAUACCCCAUAAUAUAUAUGAGUGGCAUCACUUGAAUAUUAAAACUCCGGUGGAUAGAGA
rnacentral:rRNA from 1 species